CAGCCGCCGCGGUAAUACCGGCGGCCCGAGUGGCGGUCACUCUUAUUGGGCUUAAAGCGUCCGUAGCCGGGUUGGGAAGUCCUCCGGGAAAUCUGGCCGCUUAACGGUCAGAAUGCCGGAGGAUACUCCCAGCCUAGGGAGCGGGAGAGGCCGAGGGUAUUCCCGGAGUAGGGGGGAAAUCCUAUAAUCCCGGGAGGACCACCUGUGGCGAAGGCGCUCGGCUGGAACGCGUCCGACGGUGAGGGGCGAAAGCCGGGGGAGCGAACCGGAUUAGAUACCCGGGUAGUCCCGGCUGUAAACGAUGCGGGCUAGCUGUUGGGUGGGCUUAGAGCCCACCCAGUGGCGCAGGGAAGCCGUUAAGCCCGCCGCCUGGGGAGUACGGCCGCAAGGCUGAAACUUAAAGGAAUUGGCGGG
rnacentral:rRNA from 1 species